rnacentral:rRNA from 1 species
GACGAACGCUGGCGGCACGCUUAACACAUGCAAGUCGAACGAGAGAAGAGAAGCUUGCUUUUCUGAUCUAGUGGCGGACGGGUGAGUAACACGUGAGCAAUCUGCCUUUCAGAGGGGGAUACCGAUUGGAAACGAUCGUUAAUACCGCAUAACAUAAUUGAACCGCAUGAUUUGAUUAUCAAAGAUUUAUCGCUGAAAGAUGAGCUCGCGUCUGAUUAGCUAGUUGGUAAGGUAACGGCUUACCAAGGCGACGAUCAGUAGCCGGACUGAGAGGUUGAUCGGCCACAUUGGGACUGAGACACGGCCCAGACUCCUACGGGAGGCAGCAGUGGGGAAUAUUGCACAAUGGAGGAAACUCUGAUGCAGCGAUGCCGCGUGAGGGAAGAAGGUUUUAGGAUUGUAAACCUCUGUCUUCAGGGACGAAAAAAGACGGUACCUGAGGAGGAAGCUCC